rnacentral:rRNA from 1 species
AUUGAACGCUGGCGGCAGGCCUAACACAUGCAAGUCGAACGAGUGGCGGACGGGUGAGUAAUGUCUGGGAAACUGCCUGAUGGAGGGGGAUAACUACUGGAAACGGUCGCUAAUACCGCAUACCAGCGGAUGUGCCCAGAUGGGAUUAGUUUGUUGGGGGGGUAACGGCUCACCAAGGCGACGAUCCCUAGCUGGUCUGAGAGGAUGGACAGCCACACGGCAACUGAGGGACGGUCCAGACUCCUAGGGGAGGAAGAGGGGGGGAAUAUUGCACAAUGGGCCAAUGCGUGAUGCAGUCAUGCCGCGUGUAUGAGGAAGGCCUUCGGGUUGUAAAGUACUUUCAGCGGGGCGGCGUUACCCGCAGAAGAAGCACCGGCUAACUCCGUGCCAGCAGCCGCGGUAAUUC